AUUGAACGCUGGCGGCAGGCCUAACACAUGCAAGUCGAACGAGUGGCGGACGGGUGAGUAAUGUCUGGGAAACUGCCUGAUGGAGGGGGAUAACUACUGGACACGGUAGCUAAUACCGCAUACCAUCGGAUGUGCCCAGUUGGGAUUAGCUAGUCGGUGGGGUAAAGGCUCCCCUAGGCGACGAUCCCUAGCUGGUCUGAGAGGAUGACCAGCCACACUGGAGAUGAGAGACGGUCCAGACUCCUACGAGAGGCAGCAGUGGGGAAGAGUGCACAAUGGGCGCAAGCCUGAGGCAGCCAUGCCGCGUGUAUGAAGAAGGCCUUCGGGUUGUAAAGGACUGUCAGCGGGGAGGCGUUACACGCAGAAGAAGCACCGGCUAACUCCGUGCCAGCAGCCGCGGUAAUUC
rnacentral:rRNA from 1 species